rnacentral:rRNA from 1 species
GAGCGGUAACAGGUCCAGCUUGCUGGAUGCUGACGAGCGGCGGACGGGUGAGUAAUGCAUAGGAAUCUGCCCGAUAGUGGGGGAUAACCUGGGGAAACCCAGGCUAAUACCGCAUACGUCCUACGGGAGAAAGGGGGCUCCGGCUCCCGCUAUGGGAUGAGCCUAUGUCGGAUUAGCUAGUUGGUGAGGUAACGGCUCACCAAGGCCACGAUCCGUAGCUGGUCUGAGAGGAUGAUCAGCCACAUCGGGACUGAGACACGGCCCGAACUCCUACGGGAGGCAGCAGUGGGGAAUAUUGGACAAUGGGGGCAACCCUGAUCCAGCCAUGCCGCGUGUGUGAAGAAGGCCCUCGGGUUGUAAAGCACUUUCAGCGAGGAAGAACGCCUAGCGGUUAAUACCCGCUAGGAAAGACAUCACUCGCAGAAGAAGCACCGGCUAACUCCGUGCCAGCAGCCGCGGUAAUACGGAGGGUGCAAGCGUUAAUCGGAAUUACUGGGCGUAAAGCGCGCGUAGGUGGCUUGAUAAGCCGGUUGUGAAAGCCCCGGGCUCAACCUGGGAACGGCAUCCGGAACUGUCAAGCUAGAGUGCAGGAGAGGAAGGUAGAAUUCCCGGUGUAGCGGUGAAAUGCGUAGAGAUCGGGAGGAAUACCAGUGGCGAAGGCGGCCUUCUGGACUGACACUGACACUGAGGUGCGAAAGCGUGGGUAGCAAACAGGAUUAGAUACCCUGGUAGUCCACGCCGUAAACGAUGUCGACCAGCCGUUGGGUGCCUAGCGCACUUUGUGGCGAAGUUAACGCGAU